rnacentral:rRNA from 1 species
GACGAACGCUGGCGGCGUGCUUAACACAUGCAAGUCGAACGGUAAGGCCUCUUCGGGGGUACACGAGUGGCGAACGGGUGAGUAACACGUGAGUAACCUGCCCUUGACUUUGGGAUAACAUCUGGAAACAGGUGCUAAUACCGGAUAUGAGCCUUUUCCGCGUGGGGAGGGUUGGAAAGCUCCGGCGGUCAUGGAUGGACUCGCGGCCUAUCAGCUUGUUGGUGAGGUAGUGGCUCACCAAGGCUCCGACGGGUAGCCGGCCUGAGAGGGCGACCGGCCACAUUGGGACUGAGAUACGGCCCAAACUCCUACGGGAGGCAGCAGUGGGGAAUAUUGCACAAUGGGCGGAAGCCUGAUGCAGCAACGCCGCGUGCGGGAUGACGGCCUUCGGGUUGUAAACCGCUUUCAGCAGGGACGAAGCUAACGUGACGGUACCUGCAGAAGAAGCACCGGCUAACUACGUGCCAGCAGCCGCAGUAACAC